UCAAUUAGACUGUGUCAUGACUGCACUCUUGCACAUACAUUCAUACCUUUCAGUUACUACAGUGGGAUUCUUCUCAAUACUACCAAAAGUUCAGGUUCCAGCCUCAGCUCAUCAUACCCUACCUCUGUGGUGCACAGUGUGAGGAAGCACUGAUGCCUACCUUUGACUAGGGGACUGUGUUCCAGAUGACUAAAGUCAGGUGAAGUAAAACCCAUUUGAAUGUGACAAAGGUACAUGUAAGCACUGAAUGAGAACAGACAGCCAGAGACAGCAAACCAACAUGUACUCAGCAUCCCAGUAACAAAUAAUAAUUGAACAUGAACAUUCCUAAUCUUAAAGUAGGAACCUGACAUCAAUUCCUGGCUGAAUUCUUACCUGGCUUUUUGCCUUUUUUUUUUCCUUUUUCUUUUUUCCUUUAGAAUAGCACAGUAAAUAUAGCUUUUUGAGGAUGCUUUGUCACCAUGUACUAUUGCCUUUUUAUUAUCCCUGGCCAGAGUAAUCAAAUUAGGACACUUAAUACUAAUGCUUUAUAUAAUCAUAGAUAUCCUUGUGUAGACUGUGGAUCAGUAAAAGCCUUUAGUUCAUAUAGUAUGGCAGUUUCAUAGACAUUUUUAGAUAAGGGAAUCUGUGUCAUUUUAUGAUGCUCCCUGUUCUGAAGGAAAUGGCUGACAUAUGUAAUGCAGACAGGAAUGUUAUUCUAUCUAAACUUUAAAACCAAGUAAUCUGAAAAACCAUUCACUGUAAAGACUUAAUGUUUUUGAAAACCCUGUUGUUUUGGUCCUAGAGAAUCUGCUAUGAAGAUGCAUUGUAUAUAUCUUUACAACUGACAUGAAGGAACACUUAUUUUUUUUGUUCCUGAGUUCUAAGUUUUUAAUUUUUUUCUUUUGAGGCACUAAAUAAUCCCCAGAAAAAGAUUAUUUGGGAUUUCCUGGAUACCACACAGCACAGACUUCUAGCCCUGCAGCUGGACCAAUAGUAUCUCUUAUCAUUUAAAAGAUGCAUCAGAUUUGAUCCUAGAUAAUUUAAAUGAAGACAGGUAGAAUCCUAAACCAAACACAUAAUAUUUAAUACUUCUGUAGGUCUCACAAGUUUUUCUCUCAGUGAAUUAAAAACUCAUCACCGUAUUUUUUUUAAGUCUAGUCAAGUAGGGUUUUUAAUGAUUUGGAAUCUUUAAAAAGAUACUUUAAAGUGCUGUGUCUGAUCUUCAAACUGGUAUAAAAUUCAUCAAGUUGGAAUGAUUUUUUUAGAUAAGAGCUCAAGUUUCUCUGACUUUCCUGCAGUGCUUGAUGUUACUCAUAUCCAAAUGGCAACAAUGUGUAGAGAAAUGUGAUAAUAAAAUCCAUUGAGUAAGGAGGUGUUAAUACAUAGCUGGUGAUGCAAAGUUUUAAAGGAAGCUAUUUUGUCAUUGUGAUCUGCUACUUACUGAAUGUUAUUUCUAAAGAUAGUUGGUUAUGAUUCUGUCAUGUAGUAAGUCCUGCAAUACUCUGGGUACUUGUAUUUUAAACUGUUACAUUCUUUUCUUUCAGCCUUAAGCCUUUGAAAGAUGCGUUUUUUAGAAUCCAUUUCUAUAUGGUGGUGCUCACGAUAUAUUGUAUAGUUUAGUGCAACACUGUACAAUUCUAUAUAAAAUAAUUGUAAUCAUUAAAGAUUUUCUCCAUGUCUACAUUUACAGUAUAAUCAAGAAGUCCCUCUGCUUACGUUGAAUCUAUGCACCAGCUUCUACAUGUCAUUUUUAGCAUCUGUGUCAAAUAGAGUUUUUCCAGUUUUAUAAUUGACCCAUACAGACUGUUGAUCCCUGCAUGUUUUAAAUUUUGCUGAAUAAUUUAGUGUGGUGGACAUGGUAUGUCACAUAAAGUGCAAAAUUAAUUCAUAGAUAGAAAAUUUAGAUAGCAGAUAAGAUUUUCUUUCUCACCAAUUAAGAAACAAAUCUAGAAGCCUAAAGGAUACUGAAUUGCACAGAACAAUAUAAGCAAGAAUAUUUCAAAUGAUGUAACAAUUCUGCUGAAGCCACGCACAUGUAGUCAAACCUACAUAAGCUGUUAUCAAGACAGUUAACCAAAACUACUGGUUGCUAUUAUGAACUGAAAACUUCUGCAGUAUAUUGAACCUGUAGCAUUAAAAAAAAUCAUUAAGUAGAAUAUUUGCCAAUGCUGCAAUGCGGAGGAGAGAUCAGAUAAGGAAGAGGACCUUAGACAACAUGAAGAGAGUAACACUUCCUACUUCAAUGAAUAAGACAACGCUAAUGCAUUAGUUACUUUAAAAUGAAAUUAUCUUUAUUAAAAAGGAUUCACUUUUCUGGAAUGGGUAUGUAUGAAAUAUUCAAAUCAGAAUAUAGAAAGAACUGUUAUCUAUAGUUGCUCUUUUACUGGCAAAUGGACUCAAUUCAAGAAAAUCUUAGACAUGAUUAUAAUCAGCCCUAUGUGUGGCUUCACUUAGUCUAAACUAUUACUUGAAGCAAUCACAAAAUUAAGCACAUGUUUAAGUGUUGGUUGAAUAAAUAUGACUUCACAAAUCAUAUGAAAAUA